rnacentral:rRNA from 1 species
ACGCGGAGGGAUCAUUACAGAGUUAUCCAACUCCCAAACCCAUGUGAACUUAUCUCUUUGUUGCCUCGGCGCAAGCUACCCGGGACCUCGCGCCCCGGGCGGCCCGCCGGCGGACAAACCAAACUCUGUUAUCUUAGUUGAUUAUCUGAGUGUCUUAUUUAAUAAGUCAAAACUUUCAACAACGGAUCUCUUGGUUCUGGCAUCGAUGAAGAACGCAGCGAAAUGCGAUAAGUAAUGUGAAUUGCAGAAUUCAGUGAAUCAUCGAAUCUUUGAACGCACAUUGCGCCCAUUAGUAUUCUAGUGGGCAUGCCUGUUCGAGCGUCAUUUCAACCCCUAAGCACAGCUUAUUGUUGGGAAUCUACGCCCUAGUAGUUCCUCAAAGACAUUGGCGGAGUGGCAGUAGUCCUCUGAGCGUAGUAAUUCUUUAUCUCGCUUUUGUUAGGUGCUGCCUCCCCGGCCGUAAAACCCCCAAUUUUUUCUGGUUGACCUCGGAUCAG